GAACGCUGGCGGCAUGCCUUACACAUGCAAGUCGAACGGCAGCACGGGUGCUUGCACCUGGUGGCGAGUGGCGAACGGGUGAGUAAUACAUCGGAACGUACCUUAUCGUGGGGGAUAACGCAGCGAAAGUUGCGCUAAUACCGCAUACGCCCUGAGGGGGAAAGCGGGGGACCGUAAGGCCUCGCGCGAUUAGAGCGGCCGAUGUCUGAUUAGCUUGUUGGUGAGGUAAAAGCUCACCAGAGCGAUGAUCAGUAGCUGGUCUGAGAGGACGAUCAGCCACACUUUGUCUGAGACACAGGACAGACUCUACGGUGAGUCAGCAGUGGG
rnacentral:rRNA from 1 species